rnacentral:tRNA from 1 species
GGGGAUUUAGCUCAGUGGUAGAGCGCUUGCCUUGCAGCUCAAGGCCCUGGGUUCAGUCCCCA